GUACGUCCCCGCGGGCGUUGCUGACGGUCCAGUUUGGCCACGACAGGGACAGGCACGCGCGCGACUGCAAGCUGGGAGUCGACCGCUGUAGAGAUAAAAUUAAAACUGCCGCAUCAGCUGCACGUGCUGCGCCACUCUGUGCGGCUGUCAGUGGUCACGUGGUCACUCUCGCACUCGCAGACGAGCUCCUGCACGCCCACGCAGCCCUGACGCCCGCCAGAAUCGUCUUAGUCCAGGGGCAGCGGCGACAGAUCGUACAGCUACCACAGCACAGGUAACAGAGCUCGUGAGACCAGACACAAACUGUUGCGAACCACCUAUUAGCAGUGAGACUGUGGGCACCCACACUUCUAGCUCCUUUCCCCUCCCCCCCUCCCACACACACCACAGCAUCGACGUGGAGAGGUCGACUGGUGCCGCCAGGGCUUCCUUCACCUGGACGAAGGAAUGGCGCGCCCUGGUCUUCAGCGACGCCAGCAGAUACUGCCUGCAUCCAAGUGACGGUCGUUUGUGCAUACGAAGGAGAGCUGAAAGAUGGUGCGUUGUUCCAAGAGGAUAAUGCUCGUCCACAUACUGCUCAUCAAACUCAAUGGCCCUGCAAGACGUGUGGCAACUUCCCUGGCUGGCAAGAUCUCUGGACUCCUCUGCAGUCCAGCAGGUGUGGGCUAUGAUGGGACGACAAGUGACAGGUGCGACGUGUCAAGCGAGGACUCUUACACAACUACGUGACAUCACGUAUCCCAGGGCUGUAUUCGCCAGCUGUACGACCCACUGGAUCACAGAGUCAGCGCCUGUGUUGCCGCCUGUGGUGGCUACGCCACGUGCUAGUAUGGAUGUCUCAGGUUGGGUCGAUGCCUGGUUCGUCCAAACCGCGUGUGCUAUUCGUCUCUAUGUGUUAUCAUUUCACG